CCUUCACUAGAGGCAGCAGAAAAAAAAACAACGUAAUUUAUAAAAACUUUACAACUGUAAAGUCUUUGGAUUCAUUCACUUCCCUGGCCUUUGUCACUGCCUUCCUCCAGCAUUAGCCAGCUAAGGAUUAUCUGCUGUAGCUCUAUCCAGCUUUCUCUCUCCUGCCUGCCCACUGCCUGAGCUAGAAAACCUCUUGCUGCUGCAGGCCUGGGCUCUUCAGUGACCAUCCUGCUCUGCUUCUUCAGGUAAGCCUGGUUAUUGGGCUGCUCUCCUCUGCUCAUCUUAUCCUGCCUUGUUCGGACCAGUGCUUUGAGAAGUGGUAAUUUGAUAAAUGCCUUGGUUUGUGAAGCUCGGAAAUGCACUAGUUACAGUAACAAACAAGUAUAUUUUUCUGGAAGAAAUGAACCUGUAACGGGGAGAAACCAUCUAGCUCCAAAAAGAGAAACCCUUACGAGCUUUACAGACUUCUUUUCUACUUCAACUUUUAAAAAUAUUGUGGCAAGACCAGUACCAUUAAAGACAAUGACAAGUAAACUAUCAACAUUAACAAUUACAUACUUAUAACACCCCCUGACUAUGUGCCACACUAAUCCAAACCUGGACCACCUCCUUGUCUACCUAAAAAAAUGCCUCAUAUUUAUGGAGCAGCAAAUGCUAUUUCCAUAAGAGAUUUUAACUGGAGAGUAAUCAGGCAAGUUCUUAGUCUGUUAUAUAAAGAGUGAAAAACAUCUUUAGUACAAGGUCUCAGAGACCUAUUAUGUCAGAACAAAUCAAUGACAAUAGCUAUGCUACUAUUAAACAAAACAAUACAUUAAAAUAAUGUGACAGCUAAGUCAUAAACUGUCAAAAGCUAGGAGAUUCUGAAGUUUUACUGCUGGUCACUUGCCUGAGCCCUUGUGUCUAGACAUUACAGCAGAUGAGCUGGGUUAAAAAGAAAUAAGUGCUGCAGUUCCUCUGACAGCAUGGGACACUGAAGUAUAUGAAUUGUAAAGGACUUGCUUCUCUUGCACAAAACUGGAUGGCUGCUACGAACAGCGUUGAGUAGGCAGGUGGUUUGGGCUGGACUUGGGGGAUGCUGCAGUAUAGGAUAUCAAAACCAUUUAAGGUCUGGUCUCACAUGAGUCUGAAGAUUUGAGAAGUUACCCAAACACCUGAGUUGGAAUCUUUUAUACUUUAACAGAAAUUGACAGGCUUAAGCAAAGACUCUCUGGCCUGGAAAAUGCACCUGCCCUCCUCACAAUUGCCACCUCAACAGGAAAAGUUGUGUGUGCAUGGUCACGCAGAACACCAUGGAAAACUAGAGAGCUGUGGCUCCCCAGUUCAUGCAUGUGAGGAGAGCUCAUCUGCUGCACAAAGGACUGGCACAGGUGAAGAAGGGAUAAAGGAGCUGGUGCUUGGUUGCUGAGCAACCAGAUGAUUGUGGAGUCAACUCAAGCAAGAAGCAUGCAAAAAGAAGCAGAAAGUGUGAUUGAUAAGAGGAACAGCAGAAAGAGGGACUGAAACACAGGCAGAAAAGAUGAAGACAAUAGAAACACAGCGCUAAAUCCACAAAGACAUGUUGGUGUUGCAGAGUCUUGAAUUAGGCACCCAGGCUCUCUAUACGAUAUAUGGGGAGAGUCAGGCACUUAAGAAUGGAAUUCACAGAAGCCAACACACUGAAUGGGGAGUUACCUAAGCUAGCCAGUAGGAAACACUGAGAAGAGGUGAGGGGCCUAUCCCCGAACCCUGAAAAGUCUUUAGGUCCCCAUCUCCACUCAGGAUUCACAGCUGUGAACCUGCUUCUGGAAUUAAGUGCCUAAGACAGAAAAGCUCUUUCUCACAUCAAAAGAGAGAGACACCCAGCCAUUAUAGCCAAUAGUCCAGAUUGGUGUACUCAGCUGGGAUACAGGAAACUGUUUUCAAAUCCCUGCACUACCUGGUUCAAAACAGGGACUGGAACUUAGGUCUACUAUACCCCAAGUGAGGUCCCUACCCACAAUCUACAGGGUAUUCUGGGGAAGACUGUCUCAAUCUCAACUGUUGAAGCUGUUCCACUUUGUAUUAAAUAUUAUUGGGAGUGUGUGCAUGAGAGACAGAAAGAGAUUCUAUUGCCCAGUGAUAGGGACACUCACCUGACAUGGGGGAGAAUUAGGUUCAAGUCCCUGCUCCAAUGAAUAAUCCCUUUCUACAAAUGUAUUUCAGAGUGUUGAAUAUGGUGCUAUACAGCUAUUGCUCAACGUAGACAGGCAUUAACCAAACUUUAGUCUAUGGACUCACUAUAGCUGUAUUGUCCCUCUUCCCACAAUAAGGUCCAACAAAGCUCCUUCGUGAACUGUUUCCCCCAGUUAUAAAAAUGCAUUUAGGAUUCUCAUUUCAGUUCCCCAGAAGAUGCAGUGUUGUCAUCUUUCAAGAUCCUCCCUCCCCAAACUAGGACUUGACUCUACCCAUUCUGGAUGGAAUAGAAAUGUUCCAGAGUGAAGUGCUAUGGGGAUUAGACCACUAGGGAAGUGUACAGUGGAAGGUGGAAAGGGAUUUUGCAUGAAACGACUCUGCUGUUGAGAGUGUACUGGAGCAAACUCACAAAUGGGAAGGAAACGAGAGUUCCCUGCAAGGUUCUGAACGAGUGGAGGUGGGGAGCAUAGGGGCUGCUAGUGGAAGAGGCAUGAUUGAUUAAAUGGCUGUCAGAGCAGCCAGCACAGGAAUCCUGGAGUUGGCCUUCUGCUAUAAACAAGGAAAGAUUGGAGCAUGGCUUAAAUCAGGAAUAUUUCAGAACAAAAGUUGGACUGAUGUGCUGCAUGGGAACAUGGGAGAUCAUGACAGGAGUGGGAUGAAGUUUGGUGUUUGCACCACACUUUGAAAACACCACAUAAAUAUUAACAUGUUCAAAAUAUGCCUGUAGAGAGAAGAUGCUAACACCUUGUCAUAUGAAUUAAUGCUUGUACUAAAGCUGUCAAUUACACCUACCACAAGGUCAGUUUAAAGUCAAUCUGAAUUGCACACCCACACUUCUAUAGCAUGUUGUAAACUGCUGUGUUCGCUACCCAUUCACUGUUAAUAAAGAAGAUGUGGGAAAAAAACCCUCUAUGUACCAUUUUGAAAGAGAAAAUGAGAAAUCCCAAAGAGUAAUGUAGAAGAUUCUUAGUGGGAUUUGGAUUUUUAUAGAAAAUGUAUUGUAUUACACCAAGGGGAUUCAGAGUGAAUGGAAAAUCUUUUGUGGAGUAGUUAUAGUAGAGAGAGAGAACGAUCCUCUCUCUCCCCUUCCCCCAGCUCUUCAGCUGAUGAAAACAGCAAUUGAGAACAACUUACACUCAUGCUAAUUGAUAAUUAAAGUUCUGUCACCCCAGCACACAUUUGUCUACUUAAUUACAAGUGUGAAAUCUGGCAGGUGAUACAGUUCAUAUCAAUUAACAACUUUUGAAUAGGAAGCAUAGGCUUGGAUCCAUUUCUGAGGAGUGUUCUCUUGGAAUCAGAGUAGCAGCCGUGUUAGUCUGUAUCCGCAAAAAGAACAGGAGUACUUGUGGCACCUUAGAGAUUAACAAAUGUAUUUGAGCAUAAGCUUUCGUGGGCUACAGCCCACUUCAUUGGAUGCAUAGAAUGGAACAUAUAGUGAGGAGAGAUAUAUACACAUACAGAGAACGUGAAAAGGUGGGAGUUCCCCUACCAACUCUAAGAGGCUAAUUAAUUAAGAUGAGCUAUUGUCCGGUUUGACCAAUGUACAUGGCAGAGGGGCUGGCUUAUGCUCAAAUAAAUUUGUUAGUCUCAGCAGCGGCUCCAGGCACCAAUGCUCCAAGCACAUGCCUGGGGCGGCAAGCCAUGGGGGGCGCCCUGCCGGUCCCCGCGAGGGUGGCAGUCAGACUGUCUUUGGCGGCUUGCCUGUGGGAGGUCUGCUGGU